AGUGGCUUGGGUAAUCGCGGUAUGUUUAAUGCAUAUCGAGGAAAGUCCGGGCUGCACAGAACAGGAUGCUGGAUAACGUCCAGUGGGGGAAACCCUAGGAAAGUGCCACAGAGACUAGACCGCCAUCGCUUGCGAUGGUUAGGGUGAAAAGGUGCGGUAAGAGCGCACCGCUGUAUUCGGUAACGCAUACAGGCGUAGGUAAACCCCAUCCGCAGCAAGGCCAAAUAGGGAGUCGUUAAGCGUGGUUCGCGCGUGGCUUCGGGUAGGCUGCUUGAGGCUGCCAGUAAUGGUAUGUCCAGAGGAAUGAUUACCACCAUUAUUUCUUGAAAUAAUGACACAGAACCCGGCUUAUAGAGCCACUC
rnacentral:RNase_P_RNA from 1 species